CCCUUAGAUGUUCUGGGCCGCACGCGUGCUACACUGAGUGGAUCAGCGGGUCAGGUUGCGCGAAAGCGUUUCCUAAUCUUUAAAUCCGCUCGUGAUGGGGAUUGACGGUUGCAAUUUUCUGUCAUGAACGAGGAAUUCCCAGUAAGCGCGAGUCAUAAGCUCGCGUUGAUUACGUCCCUGCCCUUUGUACACACCGCCCGUCGCUACUACCGAUUGGAUGGUUUAGUGAGAUCCUCGGAUUGGUCCCGGAGCGGCCUCUGGUCGUGCCGGAGUGCCGAAAAGAAUGUCGAACUUGAUCAUCUAGAGGAAGUAAAAGUCGUAACA
rnacentral:rRNA from 1 species